rnacentral:rRNA from 1 species
AUUGAACGCUGGCGGCAUGCCUUACACAUGCAAGUCGAACGGCAGCACGGGAGCAAUCCUGGUGGCGAGUGGCGAACGGGUGAGUAAUAUAUCGGAACGUGCCCAGUCGUGGGGAUAACGUAGCGAAAGCUACGCUAAUACCGCAUACUAUCUAUGGAUGAAAGCGGGGGAUCGCAAGACCUCGCGCGAUUGGAGCGGCCGAUAUCAGAUUAGGUAGUUGGUGAGGUAAAGGCUCACCAAGCCGACGAUCUGUAGCUGGUCUGAGAGGACGACCAGCCACACUGGGACUGAGACACGGCCCAGACUCCUACGGGAGGCAGCAGUGGGGAAUUUUGGACAAUGGGCGCAAGCCUGAUCCAGCAAUGCCGCGUGCAGGAUGAAGGCCUUCGGGUUGUAAACUGCUUUGUACGGAACGAAAGGUUUACUCUUAAUACGUAGGGAGCUCAUGACGGUACCGUAAGAAUAAGAC